rnacentral:sRNA from 1 species
UAGUUUUGUUAUUUCCUUCUUUUUUUUGCAAAUUGCGAACGUCAGUUGAUGAAUUGCGUUUAAUUGGUUAAUGGAGAAAUGAAUUGCAUUCCGAUUUCAUAUGUGCUGGCACUCGGAUUUCUUUGGCAAUGCUGGAGUCCCAGGCCCCAGCGUUUUGACCUGAAAAUUCUUUUGGCGUCGACACUUGAUCCUUUGGCAUUCCGGGGCCAAUUUCCGCACGCAUUUCGCCAUUCCGGCUGUUUAACUCAUCACCUACCGUGACACCUGGCGAUGAUUUUCCGGCUGGCACACGUAGCAGCUAUCUAAAUUUCAAUUAGAGUUUAAACCACCCGCACCGGAGGAGCUGAGCUCCCGUGGCGUGUUCCAGAAACCGGGUAACUGCUGCCCCGCCAACCUCACUGGAAAUAACUCAGCUCAUUAGUUGCAUAUUCAUGUGCGGCAGCAUUUUUUGCGAGCUUAAAUCACUGGGUGGCUGCCCGUUGAAGAAGGGGGUACAGGUACUUUUUUGAAAACGGCGCAUCAUAAAUUUGUUGAGAGGGAUUUCGUUCGGGGUAUCUGGGCAGGUUUUCCUCUUGAGUAACGAUACUUAAUAAACCCGCAUCAUUUUCCCAUUUGGUGCUCGCACUUCGCACGAUCCCCUGCCCCAGAACCAUCGAGAUGCCACUUCCACUUCCUGUUCCUUUUGCUGCUCCCAAAUUACCUGUCAUUUCGAAAUUAUGAUACCAAGGAAUCGCUGGUGGCUAUGGAUGUUCUGCCCCCUGGAAAGACAGCUUCCUGAGGAUGCAGGAACAAUUUUUAUGUUUAUGGCAAAAAGCGACGCCUAAUUUUAUUUUCGUUGCCGCGGGGCAGGAUGCCUUCCCGGCACACAUAUCUCAAAUUAAUGCCAAAAACGGGCAGAAUGUAAAACCUUAUGCGCAUUUUCCGAUUGUAAUCUGUAAGUAGUAUGAGCGUAUGUAUCAUUUUGUGGAAUCAUCCGGCUCCAACUUGCCUGUCAACAGGCCUCACACAUGGUUUUUUACUCAAAGUAACAACAUGACAGCUUGAUGAUAUUCCUCCCCAAAGUGGACAUUUUCAGCAAGGUGCCGGAGUAAA